UACGUAGGGGGCAAGCGUUGUCCGGAAUUAUUGGGCGUAAAGAGCGCGUAGGCGGUCCGAUAAGUCGGCUGUGAAAGUCAGGGGCUCAACCCUUGGAAGCCGGCCGAUACUGUCGGACUAGAGUCCGGAAGAGGCGAGUGGAAUUCCCGGUGUAGCGGUGAAAUGCGCAGAUAUCGGGAGGAACACCAAUGGCGAAGGCAGCUCGCUGGGACGGUACUGACGCUGAGGCACGAAAGCGUGGGGAGCAAACAGG
rnacentral:rRNA from 1 species